CCUACGGGUGGCAGCAGUGAGGAAUAUUGGUCAAUGGGCGCUAGCCUGAACCAGCCAAGUAGCGUGAAGGAUGACUGCCCUAUGGGUUGUAAACUUCUUUUAUAUGGGAAUAAAGUGCAGUAUGUAUACUGCUUUGCAUGUACCUUAUGAAUAAGGAUCGGCUAACUCCGUGCCAGCAGCCGCGGUAAUACGGAGGAUGCGAGCGUUAUCCGGAUUUAUUGGGUUUAAAGGGUGCGUAGGGGGGCUGUUAAGUCAGCGGUAAAAGCCCGGGGCUCAACCCCGGCGAGCCGUUGAAACUGGCUGUCUGGAGAUGUCGAGAGGCAUGCGGAAUGCGCAGUGUAGCGGUGAAAUGCUUAGAUAUUGCGCAGAACUCCGAUUGCGAAGGCAGCAUACCGGCGGCGAUCUGACGCUGAGGCACGAAAGCGUGGGUAUCGAACAGGAUUAGAUACCCGUGUAGUC
rnacentral:rRNA from 1 species